UUUUUUUUUUUUUGAACGGCAAAAUAUUAUUAAUAAUAACCGGUCUCUGCACAAGAUGAACAGAGACCGAGAUAAACGGAACUACAAAACAAAGGUGCCGUAUAUAUGCGGAACACCAAUGAAAAAGCUAAAAACUGACACCACCUAGUACACACUCCACAGUCGACGGACCAUCAACCCGACCCAAAAAGAUGCCCUAAGACUCUAACUCCCGAUCUCGAAUCAAAAGUGAUCGGCCCAUCAGAAUACAAAAAGCAGCCUUGCGAGCCAAAAUUAAUGGGCAACGGUAGAAUGAAAACAUAGGCAGCUAAGUCCUCAGCUCGCAGUCCGAUCCAAGCAGUCAACACCGAUGCGAAAAAGGUCGACCAGAUACAAAGAAACCUGCAAAUCUCAGCAGAUUUGGAAACCAUCAGAGACUCAAAAACGAGUCCUGCAAAUCUCAACAGAUUUGUAAGCGGUCAGAGAAUCUCA
rnacentral:lncRNA from 1 species